CUAGAGUGUACAUCGACAUUUUCCGCAUGUACACUCAACCCUGUACUUUCUGGGUGGGCUAAGCCCCGAAUGUAUUGUGGUCCUAGCGACGCCUCUGGGUGAGACUAUGGGAAAGAUGUGGCUUGACAGCAACGUACCAAGCGUAAAGAGCUGAGUUUCCAGGCUGAGGAUGUGAAAGGAAGCGGACAGGAAGAGAAGGGAAGAGGAAGGGCAAGAGCCUGAGAAAACAGAUUGAGAGGCAGAUAGCCAGAGGGACAAUUCACCACUCAUUCCAGCCCUGCAGAAGAAAUUGGACAAGCAUCUAACUCCCAGACCUCCCAGUGCUGCCAGUCAGUUCUCAUCCAGGGCCCUGUCUACCAGUGCCGGAGUCGUGGAGGAUUUGGGUCCUACGACUAUGGAGGCUUUUCCACCCUCCCCGGUGUCUUGGGUCCAGCUCCCAGAGAUGGUGGAGGAGGGUCCCGGAAUUGGAGCGGAUCGGGAGCCUGUGGUGGCUGCUAGGAGGAUUCAGGAGAAAAAGGAACUGCAUAUAGUAAAUGUGGAUAAAGUGGAGACUUACCUUGAGACAUCUGAGUCGGAGCCCCAACAGGGACUCCUGGUUGCUGCUGCCCCGGGUUUCCCGAUGACGCUUCCUCCGGUUCCAUCUUCUCCUCUUGGAUCACAUCAGGAGAAGGUAGGGGGGUUGGUUCAGGCAGAUGUUGAUUUGGAUACCCUUUCUUCCACUACAAUUAUUAUUCUACCAGGUAAGGAGCCUAGAUCUGUUUGUCAUGAACCAAUUAGACAUCCAAAUUCCACCAAUAAACUUUAUGACUGGGUACUUACCAUUAGAAAACCCAUUGUUAUAAUGGGAGAAUUGAAUAUUUCAAGGAAACCUCAGUUUGCUGAUCUCAGAGUACAGGCAGAUAGCUUCCCGGGGGCUACUUUCCACCAUCUGAAAGGAGUAAUUGAAACCUUACAAGAACAUCCAGAGGUGGAAAAGGUGGUGCUUUCAGGGGGUUUGAAUAAUUGUCUUUCUAAGCAGUUACCAUUGACUGCUUGGAAACAAUUACAACAGCUCUUAAAGAUGGCGGAAAAUUUCCUAAUGCCUUGCUUUAUGUACCAAUUAUCAAUUAUUCAGAUAGAUUGGAGAAACAGCAACAACUAUUGUUGGAACAACUAAAUCAAAAGAUAUUGGAGAGAUGCAACUCCUUGCCUGAGAUCAGCAAACUGAGGUUCCAUACACUCCCAAGAGAUCCGGUUCAUUGGACACCUGAAACAGGGAAUCUUAUAUUAAACUCAUGGCUUGAUAAUUUAAACAUGUGAGGGGAGAAAAGGGUCUGGAUACAACUCCACAAUCUAACAUCACAAAUGUAUCACAGUCUUAUAUACUUUCAGAUAUAGAAAGGAAGGUUCUGGAGUGGGGAUUGUCUUUUAUUCCCACUCCUCGAACCUUAGAUCGUAUGGACAUUCGCAGGGACUUACAUUCAUACCACAGAAGAUUAAAAUUGUUAGAUCAUUUUAAGUACGAAACUGAUGUUACCUUUGUUCCAUUUACUGUUCCCUCUAUUUGGGAGCCUAAAACACAAGAGAUAUCUCCAUCCAUUCAAACACUAAUUAAAAAGGAUUUGAAUACGUUUGGGAGAUUUCGACCAGUCCCGACUUUGGGUGGUAACACUACACAAGCAGAGAUGGAGGUUAUAAGGUCUCUGGGAUCUAAUCAAAGUAUAGUUAUUAAGCCUGCGGAUUAGGGGUCACAGAUUGUCAUUUUGGAUAGGGUGCAGUAUUUAUUGGAAGCAAACGGACAGUUGGACAAUAUUAAGCAUUACAUUCCUCUAGAACAUUCCAUCCAAUUUGAAACACAAGGUAGAAUUAGGAUCAUACUGUUGGGUUUAUUGGAAAAGAAAGCGAUUACUCUCAAGCAGUUUACUUACCUGUCGGGCCCAGAGGUAUUUAGAUCCAGACAAUCUCCUUCCAAAAAUCCAUAAACCUAUGGAAGGCUGGACUGUACCUUUCUGGAUCCCCAGUGGUCCUAUUGUAAGUGACUGCGGGUCAGAAUCAUAUCGAAUUGCUGAGUACAUUGAUUUUUAUAUCAAUCCAUUAUCCCAGAAACACACUGCUUACAUCAAGGACACAUAUGAUUUCGUGGAUAAGUUAAAGGGCUUGGAGUUGCCCUUAGGUGCUUUCUUGUUCUCAAUAGACAUUGUAUACAAAUAUAGAGACUUCUUUGGGAUUACAGGCGGUCAAACGUGCCUUUGAUAGGUUCCCUGAUGCCUUGCGUCCGGAUGGGUAGAUUCUGGAUUUGUUGGAGUUGAGCCUGUUGACAAACGAUUUCACCUUUAAUGAUACAUUUUAUAUUCAAAUCCAUGGAACUGCUAUGGGCAAAAAGUUUGCUCCAGCUUUUGCAAAUUUGUGUAUGUGUUUCUGGGAGGAAACAGCAUUCCAUAAGUGUAAAAUUCUCCCACGGUUGUAUCUCAGGUUCUUGGAUGAUAUUUUUGGCAUUUGGGUAGGUUCUAGACAGCAUUUUGAGGACUUCUUGGAGGUUCUUAAUACACACCAUCCUGCUAUUACAAUUUCCCAUAAUAUGCAGGUAGAAAAACUUGAGUUUUUGGAUACCCAGUUUUCUUCAUACCUCAGGCGGGUUUGGUUAAGACAUUGGCAACUAAAGUUUCCUUUAAGGAGACUGAUAGACAUGCUUUAUUGCACAAAGCCAGUUAUCACCCAAAACAUACAUUCAGAGGAAUUAUAAGGUCACAACUGAUUCGAUUUCAUAGAAUCUGCACCCUUUCUGAACAUGUGGAGGAGGCUAUAGUUAUUCGUUAAGGCUUUGGGUCCGCAGGGCUACUCUGGGGGUUUCUUGAGGGGCAUAAAGCUGGAGGUUAGUCAACUCUUUAGUAGUGGAGAAGGGCACAUCAAAAUGGGGGAGACUAAUAAUUUCAUUUCAUUUGUCACAACUUACUCUGGGAGGCUGGGACCACUUGGUAAGGUUCUGAAGUCCCACUUCCAGGAAGUGGUCUGUUGGACUUUAAAAUAAUCUCUGCCUUUAGAAGGAUCUUAAAGACGUGUUAGUCCAUUCUGCCUUUCAGACUAAAAAUAGAAACAAUGUGGGGGCUGGUCCAGGACACAGAGGGAGGGAGUGGAAAGGAUGUGGAUUAGCCACCUCCAAACUAUAGACCCUAAGGGCUUGAAUGAAAAAUAUUAAAAUAACUUACCUUUUGAUACUUACCUGAGGUGAGGAAUGGUUGGUGUCAGGAGAGUAGUGAGGGGUAUGGUUGGUGUCAGGAGAGUAGUGAGGGGUAUGGUUGGUGUCAGGAGAGUAGUGAGGGGUGUGGUUGGUGUCAGGAGAGUAGUGAGGGGUAUGGUUGGUGUCAGGAGAGUAGUGAGGGGUAUGGUUGGUGUCAGGAGAGUAGUGAGGGGUAUGGUUGGUGUCAGGAGAGUAGUGAGGGGUGUGGUUGGUGUCAGGAGAGUAGUGAAGGGUGUGGUUGGUGUCAGGAGAGUAGUGAGGGGUAUGGUUGGUGUCAGGAGAGUA